UUUUUUUUUUCCCAAAAGAAAACAUUGUUAUUCAACCGAAGAAUAAUUUCCAAUGCUCAUGAAUAUAACUUGCCAUCCCAAAAGAAAACAUUGUUAUUCGACAGAAGAAUAAUUUCCAAUGCAUCUGCCUAUGAGAAAAGCUAGAACUCAGCCCCCCAAAAUUAAAGGUUAUUGGGCUGCAUCAGUCCAAAUUACAUGAGAAAUAAGAACCAUUGAUAUUCGCUCCAAACUCUGCCAAAUUUUAUAAUCUAUGGAACUAGCCUUAAAAAAACAAGGGCCAAUUCCAUCAAGCAGCUUUUGUUAAAAACAGCCACCAAACUA
rnacentral:misc_RNA from 1 species